rnacentral:rRNA from 1 species
UAUCUCUGUAGAGUCUGCAUAUCAAUAAGCGGAGGAAAAGAAACUAACUAAGGAUUCCCUCAGUAACGGCGAGUGAAGCGGGAAGAGCUCAAAUUUGAAAUCUUCAAGGUUUUACCUUGACGAAUUGUAGUUUAAAGAAGUGUUUUCUGUUGAAGUCUUGGUAAAAGUUCUUUGGAAUAGGACAUCAUAGAGGGUGAGAAUCCCGUAUUUGACCAGUUAUUUUCCAGCUGUGUGAUACACUUUCAAAGAGUCGGAUUGUUUGGGAAUGCAGUCCAAAAUGGGUGGUAAAUUUCAUCUAAAGCUAAAUAUUGGCGAGAGACCGAUAGCGAACAAGUACCGUGAGGGAAAGAUGAAAAGAACUUUGAAAAGAGAGUUAAACAGUACGUGAAAUUGUCAAAAGGGAAGCGUUUGACACCAGUGUUGUUUUCUCGAAAAUCAAUUAAAAAUGGAUUGAUUUUGUGUUGUAUUGACUUUAUCAAGCUUUCAUCACUCUUUUUCAUUGUCUUUUUUAAUGCACUUUUCGUUUAACAAGUCAACAUCAGUUUCUUUUGUUGUAAAAAGGGUCAUUGGAAGGUGGCUUUCUUUUCGGAGAAAGUGUUUAUAGCCUUUGGCCUCUGCAAUCGGAGAGAUUGAGGUCUGCAGCGUAGAUCCUUCUGGGAUUAGAUACAUUUGUGCUAAGUUAUAGCCUUUCAUAGACAACUCGUUGACUAUGAUCAGUCAUGUAGCUUACUCGCUUAUGCUAAUUUUACCUACGCUUAGGAUGUUGAUCUCUCACAGUCGAGC